rnacentral:rRNA from 1 species
AGCGAACGCUGGCGGCAUGCCUAACACAUGCAAGUCGCACGGGGGGGCUUCGGCCUCCCAGUGGCGGACGGGUGAGGAACGCGUAGGGACCUGUCGAGGGGUGGGGGAUAACCGCGGGAAACUGCGGCUAAUACCGCAUGACGCCGCGGCGUGACAGCCGGGGCCAAAGGCGAAAGCCGCCCGCCGAGGGGCCUGCGUCCGAUUAGCUGGUUGGCGGGGUAGCGGCCCACCAAGGCGUCGAUCGGUAGCUGGUCUGAGAGGGUGAUCAGCCACACCGGGACUGAGACACGGCCCGGACUCCUACGGGAGGCAGCAGUGGGGAAUAUUGGACAAUGGGCGCAAGCCUGAUCCAGCAAUGCCGCGUGGGUGAAGAAGGUCUUCGGAUUGUAAAGCUCUUUCGGCGGGGACGAUGGUGACGGUACCCGCAGAAGAAGCCCCGGCUAACUUCGUG